rnacentral:rRNA from 1 species
AUACGUAGGGGGCGAGCGUUGUCCGGAAUGAUUGGGCGUAAAGGGCGCGUAGGCGGCCCGGUAAGUCUGGAGUGAAAGUCCUGUUUUUAAGAUGGGAAUUGCUUUGGAUACUGUCGGGCUUGAGUGCAGGAGAGGUAAGUGGAAUUCCCAGUGUAGCGGUGAAAUGCGUAGAGAUUGGGAGGAACACCAGUGGCGAAGGCGAUGUACUGGACUGUAACUGACGCUGAGGCGCGAAAGUGUGGAGAGCAAACAGGAUUAGAUACCCUGGUAGUCCACACUGUAAACGAUGAAAGCUAGGUGUAGGGGGUAUCGACCCCUUCUGUGCCGCAGUCAACACAAUAAGCAUUCCGCCUGGGGAGUACGGCCGCAAGGUUGAAACUCAAAUGAAUUGGCGGGG